GGAUUUAAAUACACAGGAUGAGAUCGGCGAUGAAUUCUAUAAUUAUCAAUUAAUAGAGUUCGUAACUCGUGGACCGAAAGGGAAGGGGAAAGUCGAUAUUGUGCCGUCUUGCUGGUUCAAAUAUAAUGCCCAAAAAGGUAGAAUGGAAUCCCCAUUCUUACCACCACCGUACACUCACGAAACAUCUGAGAUGUUUAUCCAAUUUCUUAAGGAGAAACUUAAUCCCCUGAACAGCUGGCCAUUAUACACAGUUAAAUUGGUUGGACGAGCAAAAUUGAGGAUAUGGAAAAGGAAAUUACUGUGUUUUAGAAACAUAUGAAGAUGGGACGAAAAAACUUUUACUGUUUGAGAAUAGUGAUAAUUUUGUUUAUACAGCGAAUUCCGAUUUUAAUUCUCAAGGAAAAGCGAAAUAUAUUAAAAAUAAAUACAAGGAAAGAGUAAAGCAGGGUGAUUUUCCAAAAAUCCUCUUACAAAGCACAUCAAUAUCAUCAUCAGCCUCAGAUGAUUGUGACUCUUUGUAGGAGAAAGAGUAAUUAAAAUCGCUUCUCGAGUCAGGAACGAAAAAAUUGGGAAAGUAUAAAAAAGCAUGUGACGAAAAAAGGCAAAAAUGGCGGUAAAUCUCAAGCAAAAGGCAUUAUUAAACCAUCGGGCACUGAAAACUGCGACCAAAGCCGUUCUCUAUUAGUGGAAAAAUCAAUCAAAAAUAAAAGAUUUAAAAUAAUAAAUAUACAAAGCGAAGAUAUCUGUCCACCAGAGCCAAGAAAAUGAGAUGAUACGUUAUUUGAGACAUUUUAUUUGAAUCAAAUAUUUUAUCCACUAUGGUAGCCACAUAAUAAUGCUGAAGACCAGAUACUAAAUAACGUUGAACAAAAUAUCAGUAGUGGAGAAUCAACUUCUAAUAAUUUGGCCAACAUCAUAAACAAUAAUGAAAAAGAUUGUAAUGGAAACAAUCAUCAAGCUACUGAUAAAGUAGUUGAUCAAGAUAAAUUAGGUUUCCACGAACAACUAAAUAAGAAGAAUGCCACAAAAGAAGACGAAGCACAUAAAAAUAAACAUCAAGAUUCAUCUGGACACACUUACAAAAAUGUACAAAAAGAUGAACAUAAUUUAAAAAUCAAAAGGGGAUGUAUUUUUUCAGGUUAAGUACCACAGCUAAUGCUAUU